UACGUAGGGUGCAAGCGUUAAUCGGAAUUACUGGGCGUAAAGCGCACGUAGUCGGCUUUGCGAGUCGGUUGUGAAAUCCCCGGGCUCAACCUGGGAACUGCAUCCGAGACUGCAUUGCUAGAGUAUGGGAGAGGAAAGCGGAAUUUCUGGUGUAGCAGUGAAAUGCGUAGAUAUCUGGAGGAACACCGGUGGCGAAGGCGACGUCCUGGACCGGCAUUGACGCUGAGGCGCGAAAGCCAGGGGAGCAAACGGG
rnacentral:rRNA from 1 species